GUAAAUGCAGGGUAGUAACAGAUCUUCGUCUAGGGAAACCAUUGCAAGAGUUGCAGCUGGAUCUCAUUCCAAGAAAAUGUUAAAUCUAUAUUGCGCAACUGAGAUGAGUCUUGCGCUCCAUGCUUUCUAUACAAGGAAACAGACUCGCCGGGAAAGCUCAAUUUGGUGUUAGUCUGAUGCAGGCACUUGCUGUUUUAGAUCUUUGCUGCAAGUUGUUAGGGGACCAAUUCCUUCUCAUCUUGGCAAUUUUUUCUUAUACGGGUAAACUGUAACUAUAUGCCCAGACUCAAUGUUGGAAGUAGCAGCCGAUCUCCGUCGACAAGUAGCUGGACGGCUCCCUUGCUCAUUACUGUUGCAGGUGUACACACCCUUCUGCAAGUCCACUUACUUCUUCUAAUCCAGUUUCAAGGAGUGAAUUUUUUGUUGUUCUCUCAAUGACUUGUGUGCAUGAAUUCAAGAUUUGACUACUUCUUUUUAUACCAAAGUGUCUACUGAAUUAAGUUAUGAAUUGUGCAACUAAUAUGAUGAUUUUAUUUGAACGGUCAUUUUUGUAAUUUGAGUUUCAGUCAGAUUUA